rnacentral:rRNA from 1 species
UACAGGUGGGGCAAGCGUUGUUCGGAAUUACUGGGCGUAAAGGGUUCGUAGGCGGCCAACUAAGUCACACGUGAAAUCCCCAGGCUUAACCUGGGAACUGCGUGUGAUACUGGAUGGCUUGAAUUCGGGAGAGGGAUGCAGAAUUCCAGGUGUAGCGGUGAAAUGCGUAGAUAUCUGGAGGAACACCGGUGGCGAAGGCGGAUCUCUGGACCAUUACUGACGCUGAGGAACGAAAGCGUGGGGAGCGAACAGG